CCGCGGCCGGUCGGGAGGCGCCGCGAGAUGCAGCCUCCGGGCCCGCCCCCGGCCUAUGCCCCCACUAACGGGGACUUCACCUUUGUCUCCUCAGCAGACGCGGAAGAUCUCAGUGGUUCAAUAGCAUCCCCAGAUGUCAAAUUAAAUCUUGGUGGAGAUUUUAUCAAAGAAUCUACAGCUACUACAUUUCUGAGACAAAGAGGUUAUGGCUGGCUUCUGGAAGUUGAAGAUGAUGAUCCUGAAGAUAACAAGCCACUCUUGUAUGUAAAAAUAAUUAUAUAUAUAUAUGUAUUUUAGCUAGUCUGUGGGAUGAUUAUAUUCUUUCUUGUUAUUUAGAGAGAAAGCAUUAACCUUUUUUGGUCAAAAGCUAUAGUGAUUGUCAAUUUUACUAGUAAUUUAAAAAACUGAAAUAAUAGAGAAUAUUUUUUAACCAAUUAAAAGAAUGGUAAUCCUGUAUCUCACACACAUGUAUGUCUACUCCAGCUUACCUGGGUCUGUCAGCUAUCUGAAGUAAUCAUGCAAUUU
rnacentral:sRNA from 1 species